AUUGAACGCUGGCGGCAGGCCUAACACAUGCAAGUCGAGCGGAGCGGCGGACGGGGGAGUGAUGCCUAGGAAUGUGCCUGGUCGUGGGGGAUGACGUUCGGAAACGGGCACUAAUACCGCAUACUAGCAGCUGCACCUACGUCGGAUUAGCUAGUGGGGGGGGUAACGGCCUACCAAGGCGACGAUCCCUAACUGGUCUGAGAGGAUGAUCAGCCACACUGGAACUGAGACACGGUCCAGACUCCUACGGGAGGCAGCAGUGGGGAAGAUUGGACAAUGGGCGAAAGCCUGAUGCAGCCAUGCCGCGUGUGUGAAGAAGGUCUUCGGAUUGUAAAGCACUUUCAGCGAGGAGGCGUUACCAACAGAAUAAGCACCGGCUAACUCCGUGCCAGCAGCCGCGGUAAUUC
rnacentral:rRNA from 1 species